rnacentral:rRNA from 1 species
GGAUGAACGCUGGCGGCGUGCCUAAUACAUGCAAGUCGAGCGAACAGAUGAGGAGCUUGCUCCUCUGACGUUAGCGGCGGACGGGUGAGUAACACGUGGAUAACCUACCUAUAAGACUUGGAUAACUUCGGGAAACCGGAGCUAAUACCGGAUAAUAUAUUUAACCGCAUGGUUCAAUAGUGAAAGACGGUUUUGCUGUCACUUAUAGAUUGAUCCGCGCCGCAUUAGCUAGUUGGUAAGGUAACGGCUUACCAAGGCAACGAUGCGUAGCCGACCUGAGAGGGUGAUCGGCCACACUGGAACUGAGACACGGUCCAGACGCCUACGGGAGGCAGCAGUAGGGAAUCUUCCGCAAUGGGCGAAAGCAUGACGGAGCAACGCCGCGUGAGUGAUGAAGGUCUUCGGAUCGUAAAACUCUGUUAUUAGGGAAGAACAAAUGUGUAAGUAACUAUGCACGUCUUGACGGUACCGAAUCAGAAAGCCACGGCUAACUACGUG